rnacentral:rRNA from 1 species
GAUGAACGCUAGCGGCAGGCUUAAUACAUGCAAGUCGAACGGUAACAGGCCCGGCAACGGGUGCUGACGAGUGGCGCACGGGUGCGUAACACGUAUGCAACCUACCCUUAACCGGGACAUAACACUGAGAAAUUAGUGCUAAUAUUCCAUGGUAUUACGAAGAGGCAUCUUUUUGUAAUUAAAGAUGUAUUGGUUAGGGAUGGGCAUUCGUCCCAUUAGUUAGUUGGAGUGGUAACGGCACACCAAGACGAUGAUGGGUAGGGGUCCUGAGAGGGUUAUCCACAACACUGGUACUGAGACCCGGACCAGACUCCUACGGGAGGCAGCAGUAAGGAAUAUUGGGCAAUGGGCGGGAGCCUGACCCAGCCAUGCCGCGUGCAGGAAGACGGCCCUAUGGGUUGUAAACUGCUUUUGUUUGGGACUAACAGCCGGGUCGUGACCCGGCCUGCAGGUACCGAAUGAAUAAGCAUCGGCUAACUCCGUGCCAGCAGCCGCCGUAAUAC